rnacentral:rRNA from 1 species
UACGGAGGGUGCAAGCGUUGUCCGGAUUUAUUGGGUUUAAAGGGUGCGUAGGCGGCCCGUUAAGUCAGCGGUGAAAUCCCGGGGCUCAACCCCGGAACUGCCGUUGAUACUGGCGGGCUUGAGGUCGGUGAAGGCGGGCGGAACUGGCGGUGUAGCGGUGAAAUGCUUAGAUACCGCCAAGAACCCCGAUUGCGUAGGCAGCUCGCUGUGCCGAAACUGACGCUGAGGCACGAAAGCGUGGGGAGCGAACAGG